CCUGACGACGCAACGCCGCGUGGAGGACGAAGAUCUUCGGGUCGUAAACUCCUGUCGAGCGGGACGAAUACCUUCGUGGCUAACAUCCCCGAGGGUUGACGGUACCGCUAAAGGAAGCCCCGGCUAACUCCGUGCCAGCAGCCGCGGUAAUACGGGGGGGGCAAGCGUUGUUCGGAAUUACUGGGCGUAAAGGGCUCGUAGGCGGCCAACUAAGUCCGACGUGAAAUCCCCAGGCUCAACCUGGGAACUGCGUCGGAUACUGGAUGGCUUGAAUCCGGGAGAGGGAUGCAGAAUUCCAGGUGUAGCGGUGAAAUGCGUAGAUAUCUGGAGGAAUACCGGUGGCGAAGGCGGCAUCCUGGACCGGCAUUGACGCUGAGGAGCGAAAGCCAGGGGAGCAAACGGGAUUAGAUACCCCGGUAGUCCUGGCCCUAAACGAUGAAUGCUUGGUGUGACGGGUAUCGAUCCCUGUCGUGCCGAAGCUAACGCAUUAAGCAUUCCGCCUGGGGAGUACGGUCGCAAGGCUG
rnacentral:rRNA from 1 species